UCACACCUGAAGUUCUCAGCCUUGGGACCUCAGAGGAUAUUCUAAAACAACAGGGCAAGCCCCUGGUGAAUGUCCUCUUAAAUAUAUUCCAUUUAUUGACUUCUAACUAUGUGUCAGGCACAACUAACCCACUACCAAUGAAGUCUUUACAGGUAAAGAGACUGAUGAUGGUGGAAAGGCAGGUGAGGACUGGACGAUUCCAGAAAGAAGUCAUGAGAAAUGAGGCCAAGAAAGAGAGGUGGAGGCAGAUGGCAGAGGCUUUAAUGCGGGACUGAGAAGCUCUGACCUUCUCCUGUAAGUGCAGGGAACCAUCGAAGGAUUCUAAGCAUAUGUGACGUGGUCUCAGUUGUGGUUUUGGAAACUUUAUCUCCAAGUAGAGUGUGGGAAGGAUUGGAAAGAGAGGGCCAGAUGUCUUUCCAUUAGAGCGUGAGUCCUGGGAAGCAGUGGAGGGGGACUGGGUAUGGGGAAAAGAAUGAGGAGGAAGAGGAAGGAAGAUAUAGGGGAAGAGAGGAAGGAGAGGGGACAAGAGAAGGAAAGGGGAAGAAGAAGGGGGAGGAAGAAAGCGAGGAGAUUUGAUUCCUCUCUUCCUCUCUUUCCUCUCCUCUCCUCUCCUCUUUUUUUCUUUUCUUUUUUUUUUUUUUUGAGACAGAGUUUCACUCUAUAGCCCAGGCUGGAAAGCAAUGGUGUGAUCUCAGCUCACUGCAACCUCUGCCUCCUGGGUUCAAGCAAUUCUCCUGCCUCAGCCUCCUGAGUAGCUGAGACUACAGGCAUGCACUACCAUACCCAGCUUUUUUUUUUUUAUUUUUUUUUUUAUUUUUCAUAGAGACAGGGUUUCACCAUUUUGGCCAGGCUGGUCUUGAAAUCCUGACCUCAGGUGAUCCGCCCACCUUGGCCUCCCAAAGUGCUAAGAUUACAGGCAUAAGCCACUGCGCCCAGCCUGGUCCCUCUAUUUCAUUUGCUCAACAGAAACAUACAAUUUGUGAGCACCCACCACAUGUGAGAGGGGCUUGGACAAACAAGGUGGACCAUCAUGGUCCUUGUGAGAGCUCAUAACGUGGAAGGGAAGAGGGAAGAGGAUGCCAAUUGAUGUGUACAGGGUCCUCUGGAGCUGACAAAUGGCCUUGACAAAUACUAUCUCCCUCCAUCCCCGCACCUGUUCUGUAAAAUAAGCAGGACAGACAUGCUUAUGCUCAUUUCAUAAAUGAGAGAACUCAGCACUGGUUAACUUACUCAGGGUUCUACAGCUGGGAGAAGGCGGAGCUGGGAUUCAAAUCCAGUGCUGUUUCUGCUACAUCAAGUACACACAGGAAAGGUACUCAGAGCUCAAGGGGAAGGUAGAAUUUGGCAGAGUGAUUAAGGGCUGGAUUCCGGAGUCCGACUGUCUGGCUCCAAAGCCUGUCUCCAUCUCGCUGUGUGUGAACCGUAGAUGAGUUUCUUAACUCUCUAUGCUUUAGCCCCUUCACCUAUAACAUGUGAAGAAUGGUGCCCACCUCCUCGGGUUGCAUGAGGCUCACAUGAGCUAUAGUUCAGGCCUGGCCCAAAGUAAGCACUCUGAAAGGGAUUCUGCCAUUACCAUUACAUUUUGAGGUGGGUGGGUACAGGGAGGUGGUCCAGGCAGAAGCAAUGAGCCAUCUCAAGGGGAAGUGCAGGGACCCAGGCCAUUGUCAGGACCUCCUUUCUGGGCCCAGACCCCCUAGAUGCCCUGGACCUAGUCUUUUGCUUCCUCUCCUGUAUCCUUGCCCAUCGUCCUCUUCCUCUCCCUUUCUUUGUUCCAUCCAUUUUCCCUUUCUUCCCUGCUGAUCCUUGCUCAGUUCUGUUGAGCCCUGGAGGCUGAAGACUGUGCUAACACUUCCCCACCACCCCCAUGUGACUAUGGGCCAAGAACCAGCCUUCCAAAUUGCUUUGACAUCCACCGAGGAGCAUGUUCCAGGAAUAUCAGCUGUUCAGCAGGUCUGCUAAAGGGCAUGGUCAGAGCACCUGGCUUUUCCUGUGGGGAGAGGCUUCUGCAGGCAAACGCCUCUCCCUCCUCACUGCCCCUUAUCCUGCUUCCCAGUCUUCAUGGUCUCUUUUUUAUUAAAGGAGAGGGAGAGAGAGGCUGAGAGAGAGGGAGGGAAAUAUUAGAAAUAUUGUCACAACCUGCUCCCCGGCUUCACAGAAGGUAAUCAGGAAAGAGACGAGAAGAGAACUGGGCUCUGUGGUUAUCACAGCUAUUAGUGGGAGAUUAUUUGUUCAUCAGCCUGUAAAAAGUUCCCAGCUUUGGCAAAGGUAAUUACCAGCCUAGGUGGCUGGGCCAGGUCGGGACAUGGGGGGAGGUGAAGCUGUCAUUUCCAAUUCACCAGCCUCCAUUUGCUGUUUGGUCAAGAGGUUCAAAUGAAAAGGUUAAUUAAGAAUCAGAGGAUUUGCUCAUCAGGUUAAGUCAUGUAUACACAGCACAAAGGGCAUGUCUAUACAUGAUAACUGCUUUUAAAGAAACCAAUUCAAUUCAGCAUGCAUUUGUUGACACACUCACCCUUGGGGCAGCCUGCAUCAAACUGUGGAUGUGGGGGUGUAAAUACCCAUUCCUUUUGCUUCAGGACAGGACAACUUAGAAGGCCAUCCUAGCUCCAGAACUCCCUGUAGGCUUGGCUGGGACCCUUCAUCCCAGCUCAGCUUCUCUCUCUGCCUAAUCCCAUUUCCUUCCCUCUCCUCCACACCCCCUUCCCUCUCCUCCCCACUCCCCACCCCAAGUUGUUGAUGCCAAAAGCAACCUCAAUAAAUUUCCUGCAUGAAAAUAUCCAUUUCAGAGUCUGUUUCCCAGGAAACCCAACCCAAGGCAGCACACACAAAAAAUUGAGACUCACCAGAUCCAAUGAUCGGCAGGAGCCGUUCAUCCAUUCAGCAAACGAGUGUUUGGCACCUAUGUUAACUCUAGCCCUAGAAGACGUCCUGGGUGAUGAAAGAUUCCAAGUGGGCCUCAAAGAGUGGGCAGAGUGUGGAAGGAGGAGGAGAGGCAAUGAAUUUAGUGGAAUCAUUGUGUGUUUUGGAGUGCACAC
rnacentral:lncRNA from 1 species